GCAGUGCAUCCACGAGACCCUGCUUUUCUUCGCUGGGGCCCUGCGAGACAACAAGGAGGUGGAAUUCUCCUUCAAGGGCAUUGGCAUCCUCGCUGUGCGAAGAAAAGCCGUCAGCAUGACCUUCUUCGAUGACUGCCUGCUGGAGCUGGACGCCACCGGGAACAUGCUGGCAGCUCUUCUGGAGGACUCCAAGAUGAGGGGUAUCGUGGCCUUCCCGGGCAAAAACGAUUUUACGCGGCUCAGCCGAGACGGGGUCAUCACGCUGCCAAGGCUUGCAGUUGAGACCCCACACCGAGCAUCAGCGCCUGCAGUUUCUCUGAAGCCCCAGAGAGAGCCGG